rnacentral:rRNA from 1 species
AAAUUGAAGAGUUUGAUCAUGGCUCAGAUUGAACGCUGGCGGCAGGCCUAACACAUGCAAGUCGAACGGUAACAGGAAGCAGCUUGCUGCUUUGCUGACGAGUGGCGGACGGGUGAGUAAUGUCUGGGAAACUGCCUGAUGGAGGGGGAUAACUACUGGAAACGGUAGCUAAUACCGCAUAACGUCGCAAGACCAAAGAGGGGGACCUUCGG